AAAGGAAACUCGCAAGGCAACCGCCUCCUCGCCCCGCCUUCCCUGAUCCACUAUCCUUCCGCACGAAAGGAAGUUCUUCCCAAGGUAACCGCCGCACAGCCGUGCACGCCGCCACCCACUGCCUCGCGCCGACCACAUCGGCACACCGCCAAGCCGUCGCACCUUCAGGACGCCGGCCACAUCGCCAAGCCGCCGCACCUUCAGGACGCCGGCCACAUCGCCAAGCCGCUGCACCUUCAGGACGCCGGCCGCAUCGCCGAGCCGCCGCACCUUCAGGCCACCGGCCACAUCGCCGAGCCGCCGCGCCUUCAGGACGCCGGCCACAUCGCCUCGAGCCGGCGCCUUCAGGACGCCGGCCACCACAUCGCCUCGAGCCGGCGCCUUCAGGACACCGGCCACAUCGCCUCGAGCCGCCAGCCCAUCGCCGAGCCGCCACACCUUCACACCGCCGCCCCCAUGGCCUAGAGCCCCCGCACCUUCAGGUCACCUCCCCAUCGCCUCGGCCAUCAGCGACGCCGCCUAAAACGCCUCGGCUCGGCCAUCAGCGACAUCGUCAGUUGACAUCUCCCUGUCAUCUCGCAAAGUCAGGGGACACGCCACCUUGACGCACACAGCUGCGGGGCCGGAGGUCUUUCAUCUCUGCUUUCUUUUAUUUUUUCAGUGACAUGCUGCUUCAAAUUUGAUAGAUUGAUUCACGUUUCACUUACCUGAGUUUGCCACGGUUUCUAAACUGGAUAAAACUGAAAAGCAACCCUGUCAAGUGUUAACACAGUUUAACAAACUCUUCAAUCGAUGAUUACAAUGCACACAUUCAGCAGUUCAGCUUCAUUAUUAUUGUCAUUUUCAUUGCUUGAAUUUUGCUCACCCAUGUUUAUGAUCAUAUUAUAUUGAGAUUUCACUGAUUUUAUGCACAAAUCUCGAAGACGGUAAAUAUUCAUUCGGGUGCUUCUCUGUUACGAUCAAGGGAUCGUUCCUAGAUUAGGGACCUUGCAAACAAGUCUACAACAGCGAAUGAAAAUCACGCGGGAUAUAAAACCACAGGGCAAUCAAGGAUGAUAUGCACGAAUGUCUGCUGAUAAAAAGGAGGAAUACCUCAAGAACCGACAUCAGCCACGCGCAGAAAAGAAGGUCGCAACUCUUAUUAGUGCCAACUAUCAGCAAGUAUCUCAAGAACAUGCUUCUUCAUUUUUGUCUCUGCAACGUACCCCUUUGAGAAAUAUAACCAACACACAAAAAUAUGUAAGUACAGCUGCAAGCUCUGGAAGUAUUGAUCAUCAACCUGCAGAUAUCAAUGUUGGAUGCGAAAAACAAAGGGGGCAGGGGUGGUAAUCCCGUUUGUCCCAAGAGAAUAAAGCACAACACCUACAUAAGCUCCGGCUGGCCCGACUAGAAACGAAAGCUGCAGCAAAAAGUGUCAAUGUUGAUGUUCCUCAAUCCCGUGCCCCUCAUGGUUCCACAGGUAAUAUCUCCUAUCUGGUAUAUUCAUUGCCUUCGGGUGUGUCUACACUGAUGGAAAAUGUAAUCAUGAUUUAUGUGAUCUCUGAGCGAUUUCUUGGACGCGACCACUGCCGGUCCACUCCACUCGUGGACAUGGCGGCCUUAACACCAUCGCCGUCCCCAGGCUGACCUACUCCUAGCGUGUACGACACGAUCUCGACGUCGUUGAACCUCAACAGCUCGACGCCACCCAUGAUUCAGGUAAUUAGGUUUGUGAAGGUAGGCUACUACAUACCACUUGCAAAAGGAUCAGUUGAUUUUUUUUCCUUUAUUUUGUAGAAGAUGCAACUCCAAAUAUUUUUGCUUUAUGCAUGACUACUCUACAUGCGUAUUUGGGUAGUAAUAUUUAUUUGAUGAUUGGAUGUGAUUUGGAGGUGUGCUCAGUUUUAUUUUAGCAUGCUCAGAUUUGACCUGAAUCGUAUCUUAUGUACCAUCAGCCUAAUUACUUGGCCGUGGAAUGGGACGAUGGCUGUGUAAUUAUUGGUUUCUCUUGGAUGAUAUGCUCUGAAACAACAAUGUUACACGCUGAAUUGAAACUUUUGGUACCAGCUGGGUAGGGGAUCAGUUGUGCUGAUUUGAAUGGAUUGUGUUUAGAUUUUCGGAUUUGUUGUCUAGCGGCUUGAGGAUGAGGUUUGUGCAACCUCCCCUGGUUACUUGCCUGUACAAUUAACUAUGUUGGAUUUCGUACAUUUUUAACCGUUUGUAGAAAAAGAUGGACCUGUUGCUCAUGGCGUGAGACAGACAAUGCCUUUUGGUAUGAUACCACAUUUCUAAAGAUAAUUCAGUUAUAUCUUCACGCUGCCGUUGUUACUGCGCCCAUAACGCAAGUGCAGUUACUGCCACAACAUUGGUCCGCUAAGAGGAUGCAAACACCAUGAAUCGGCAAAUGGAAAUUGGGGAGGUUUUGGCGACGUCGGUGCAUGAAGGAUGCAAACAACGCAGCUCAGCUAAGCUCAGCUACAUCAGGUGACAUGUGGAUGAUUAGUCUGAAUGAUUGGUCUGAAGUGCCACUGAAGACAUAUAGAAACUAUACUUCACAUGUUUCACUACUUCGAGAGUGUGUCUUGCAAUUAGUCUCUGCCCCACCUUAAAACAAAAUGGAUCAUCUACUCCAAGCGUGUGUGCACGUGGAUUCGAGGGAUUUGGUUUUUUCUCUAGUAACUAGCAUAUUUGGUGAAUGUGUGAAGUCCUGCUACUACUAAUAGAGAAGGAAAAUCACCAAUGAACCUCAUUUUGAGAUAAAAUAGAACCAAUUUAGAAAAACUUGGCAAGCCCACAUUAUGUCA